rnacentral:rRNA from 1 species
UGGGGAAUUUUGGACAAUGGGCGAAAGCCUGAUCCAGCAAUGCCGCGUGUGUGAAGAAGGCCUUCGGGUUGUAAAGCACUUUUGUCCGGAAAGAAAUCCUUGGCUCUAAUACAGUCGGGGGAUGACGGUACCGGAAGAAUAAGCACCGGCUAACUACGUGCCAGCAGCCGCGGUAAUACGUAGGGUGCAAGCGUUAAUCGGAAUUACUGGGCGUAAAGCGUGCGCAGGCGGUUUGCUAAGACCGAUGUGAAAUCCCCGGGCUCAACCUGGGAACUGCAUUGGUGACUGGCAGGCUAGAGUAUGGCAGAGGGGGGUAGAGUUCCACGUGUAGCAGUGAAAUGCGUAGAGAUGUGGAGGAAUACCGAUGGCGAAGGCAGCCCCCUGGGCCAAUACUGACGCUCAUGCACGAAAGCGUGGGGAGCAAUCAGGAUUAGAUACCCUGGUAGUCCACGCCCUAAACGAUGUCAACUAGUUGUUGGGGAUUCAUUUCCUUAGUAACGUAGCUAACGCGUGAAGUUGACCGCCUGGGGAGUACGGUCGCAAGAUUAAAACUCAAAGGAAUUGACGGGG